AUACGGAGGGUGCAAGCGUUUCUCGGAAUUACUGGGCGUAAAGGACGCGUAGGCGGUUUAGAAAGUCAGAUGUGAAAGCCUAUGGCUUAACCAUAGAACUGCAUCUGAAACUCCUAGACUAGAGUGAGGGAGAGGUCAGUGGAAUUAGUGGUGUAGGGGUAAAAUCCGUAGAGAUCACUAGGAAUACUCAUAGCGAAGGCGACUGACUGGAACUUUACUGACGCUGAGGCGUGAAAGCGUGGGGAGCAAACAGGAUUAGAAACCCCAGUAGUCC
rnacentral:rRNA from 1 species